GAGUUUGAUCCUGGCUCAGAUUGAACGCUGGCGGCAUGCCUUACACAUGCAAGUCGAACGGCAGCACGGGAGCUUGCUCCUGGUGGCGAGUGGCGAACGGGUGAGUAAUGCAUCGGAACGUAUCCUGGAGUGGGGGAUAACGUAGCGAAAGUUACGCUAAUACCGCAUAUUCUGUGAGCAGGAAAGCGGGGGACCUUCGGGCCUCGCGCUCUUGGAGCGGCCGAUGUCGGAUUAGCUAGUUGGUGAGGUAAAGGCUCACCAAGGCGACGAUCCGUAGCAGGUCUGAGAGGAUGAUCUGCCACACUGGAACUGAGACACGGUCCAGACUCCUACGGGAGGCAGCAGUGGGGAAUUUUGGACAAUGGGGGCAACCCUGAUCCAGCCAUGCCGCGUGAGUGAAGAAGGCCUCGGUG
rnacentral:rRNA from 2 species